UGGUCAGUCAGUAGUCAGAGAAAAAAUUGCCAGUAUUCAAAAUUCCAACUGGCAAUGUAAGUUUGGGCCUAGUUAAUGUUCACAUUUCCUGAAAAGUUAUCAGUUUUGUUGAUUAGAAGAGCACAGAAAUUUGCCAGAAUUGCAGCCUUUUUCCGCAUGAUUUGAGCACAAGCUCAACUAACCUCUAAAGAUGCCGAGUGUCACCCUCCCAUCAAAAUAACGUUAAUAAUUGAAUUUAAAAAGCGGGAAAAAGUCGCCAGUUUUGUCCCCUGGCUUGCAAUGGAGGCCACUAUUUUGAAUAUUCUGGCAGCAAGUGAAGUCCAGCACGCUUAUCCUGCAUUGCAAAAGGACGCAGUGGAUGCCAUUGCGAGCCGAAUAACUGAUAUAGUUUAUACGACUUUGGAGUGCAAAACCGCACAAAGUAUCGCAAAGAGAUGUAAUUUGUUGAAGUUUGUGAACAAGCUGUGCUACACUCCAGAGUUUCACUCUCAAGAGCACCACUACAAGGCGUACCUUCAGGAGUACGACCGACAGUGCAUUAAAGCUGGAAGCCCUGAGCUGGUAGACGCUAUCAAAGCAGAACUGCUUGAAAUAUCCAAUAGUGUUCACAGGGCGGUUAGCCAGUUCUAUCAAAGAAAAAAUGCUAAGACCAAAGAAGCCAUCGCAAGACAUGAGCUGAUUAAGCAAUGGGACGAGGAGAAACUAAAACUGAAGCCGAACUUCAGCUAUUCAAAAACCGUCUCCCAUUACGAAACGAGUCAAAGACUGAUAGAUGAUUUGUUGUUGGGAAAGGCCUCCCCAUCAAAUGUUGACCAGGCAGCUUUAAAGGACCAUCGAGAGAGGCAAGUUGCGUUCUCUUAUGCGUUGGUGAACGUUGCUCAAGAUGCCUCAGAUCUGAUCGCUCUGCAUCAGGUCUUUCGAGCAUUCUCCUCCUACGCAAGUCUGAUGCCUUGUGAACUUGAGCUGUUAACAAAUAUCUGGAUGCUGAAAGAUGGCAAAUUCGAUCUGAGGAACAUAGUAAGUAUCCAGUUUCCAUUCAUACUGGAAAACAUGGUUAUCCAUUACUGUACCGACAUCGUAAAGCUGCAGAACAGUUCGCAAGUUGCAUCGUACUUCUGCUCGUUGAGUUCCGAUCCGAAAUUGCUACUUUUGCGCCAAGCUUGUGCCCGACAUCGUCUUCUAUAUUUAAAGUUAAAAAAUUGCAUCUUUCAGUUGUAUGUUCACAGUGUUUGUAAUCGAAAUAUUUACAGAUUUAUUGAUUACAUUUUAUGAGAGGUUGGUUGGAAGUAUCUCUAACGGUUAUUGUAGUACUCUUGUAUAAAACUUUGAGAUCUGGAUAAUCGUGCAGAGAGGGCACCACCACUUGGAUCUCAUAUGGAAACCAUGUGAUUUGUGAAACAUAAAUUUUACCUUUGGGGGGGUUUUCAGCUGGUGAUAAAAGCCGAAAAGUGAGGUUGAUUUAGGCCUAUUUGUCGAAAAUUGUGGUCGAAAAUACGUCUUAAGUGGCAAUUCGAGAUUAAACGCUUGAGCAAUGGCGGUUUUGCUGGUAGAUUUUUCGCUUGAAGAAGGUUUCUACGAUACCCAGAGCUCAGUUUUGGAGUUACUUAAUAAACUUGAGAAUGCCGUCAAGCAAGGGUUUUCCUCCCUGCAGCGAAUCAAUAACUUUAGUUUGGAGGGCAGUUGGAUUCGCAUUCUCACUUCUGAGGCUUCAAUGAUAACGAUGCGAAUCUUCCCCAAUCAAUUGGGCCAUAUCACCAUAGAUUGUUAUGCGAAGGACUCAGAAACACCUUCUGCAAGUCUUGAGGUAGUUCGAGAAAUUGAGCGCCACAUUAAAGCCGCAGUACGUGGGAUCAAAAGUAUUCGUGCUUUGCCAAAUUUGCAAGCCGAUAAAGCCGUUCGGUAUUAUCUUACUUCAGAUAACAGGGUAGUGGAGUAUGAUGUUACUGCCCUCGUCUUCGACGAAACCACCCCUUACCAAAAGGUACAAAUCGUCAAAUCCAAAACCAUGGGAAAUAUAUUGGUCUUAGACGACUUGCAAAAUCUGGGUGAAAUGGAUUUGCCCUACACACAUACAUUGAUGGGAAAAAACGUAGAGAAAUACGAGGGCAAAGAGGUCCUGAUUCUAGGCGGAGGUGACGGGGCUCUGCUAUACGAAUUGUUACAAGAAAACCCCAAAGAAGUGGUCAUGGUUGAGCUGGACGAGGUCGUGAUUAAAGCCUGCUCCAAAUACAUGAGAUCCGUUUGCGGAGACGCGAUGGACAACUACGAUGGACCUCAUCAUAAGAUAAUAAUUGGCGAUUGUUUGCCCGUUCUCGAACAGUACAUCGGCGAGGGCAGACGGUUCGAUUAUGUUUUUGGCGAUCUUACUGACGUGCCCAUUUCGGUCGACAAAUCUUUGGAAUUGUGGGCCUUCAUUAACAAGGUGCUGAAACUGAGUUUUCAAGUCUUGAAGCCUGAUGGGAAAUUCAUGACUCACGUGACUGGCCAAGGUUGUACCGAAGCUUUGGAGGCUUAUAAACAAUGCCUGGAUCGACUGCAGCCUGCAGUGAAAUACGAAACGUCCUCAAAUUUCGUGCCCAGCUUCCACGAGACCUGGGUUUUCUGUCAAGUUAGUUUUAAGAACGGCGAAGCAGCGACAAAUCAGCAGACCGAAUAACGAUACGUUUCGAUUUGCCUAUUUGUUACUUGAGGGCGUCUAUUUGCAAGCAAGCCCUCAGAUCAGAACGGCUCACAUGAGUCUGGACUAACUAUUCUUUUUCAAUUAACGAGAACUAGUUUAGUCCCCCAGCCCCAACCAAGUUGCUUUUUGCCAUAAGCUAGAGUCAGUAUUUUUCUACAAAUGUGUUCCUCGCUUCGUUCCGAAAAUUUGCGCUAUAUUUAGAUCUUAAGGAGCAAUUCGUAUGUAAGCAGACUGAGCUGUGGAAGCGCGGAUAUCAAGCGGGCGGUGAAGGCGAUCGUCUUGGCCCGGCAAAGUGGUACCAUUGGGUGCAAUAUAGCAGUAGCCGUUCGACCAGAAUUUCACGCUGGUUAUUCUGCAUAUCAUUUUUGGCUGGUGCGGGAGCUUCGCGGUUUGUUAGGCUUGUGGUACCGGUGCCGGGUGUUUAUUUACGUACGCUUGUUCAAUUGGUUCGGAGUUCGAAGCAUGAAAUAAAGUGAACGUAAUUUGGAAAGUACCGUAUCACUGUCAUUGCCGCACUGAAAACGCAAACGAACACUUUGUCGGUACCAUACGCAAGACGCUGGUGCCGAACCAUCGUUGCCUGAGUGGAAGUUGUGUUGUUUUGUGAACGAAAGCACUACGGGAUGAUGAUUUACUCGAGUGGUUCCCGUAGGGUGUUUUGGGGUAAGUACCCAAAGCCAUUGGGGGUUGAGUUAGUUGAGUGAAAUUAUUAUUU